AACCCCUACGUUUAGUUGCUAACGCGUGAAGGCGAGCACUCUAGACGAACUGCCGUUGACAAACGGAGGAAGGUGGGGAUGACGUCAAAUCAUCAUGCCCCUUAUGUUCUGGGCUACACACGUGCUACAAUGGCCGGUACAGACGGACGCAAAGCCGCGAGGUGGAGCAAAUCCUAAAAAGCCGGUCUCAGUUCGGAUUGCAGGCUGCAAUUCGCCUGCAUGAAGUCGGAAUCGCUAGUAAUCGCAGGUCAGCAUACUGCGGUGAAUACGUUCCCGGGCCUU
rnacentral:rRNA from 1 species